CUAAAAACUCCUGGGUUAUUUCUUCAACCCAUAUUCUGGGUUAUUUGUGUUGGGUUAAAAUUAUGGGUUAUUUUUUCAGAGAGUAAUCAUUUUCUGGGUUAUAGGGCUAAUAUUUUGACCCAAUUCCUGGGUUGUUUGGGUUUCUGGGUUAUUUUUCAAAGAUUAACCCAUGUUCUGGGUUAAUGCCCCGCCCCUCGCUGUUGUUCUGGAAUUUUCUCACAACAGUCGUUUGAAAUAACUGUCACUUCACGGAGUUCGCGCUCGAUCCGUGUUGGCCUGGGCUUCUUCGGUGCAACUUCGCUGUGUAUUCAAGGUCUUUUUAAAUGGACAGCUUUGUUGCUGAUAAGCUAACUGAGUGGUGGCUGUUUAAGCUGACAGAGACAUUUUUGAGGCCGUCUACAGUGUUGGGAAGAAGACAAUCCGGCACUCCUGGACAGCGUUCAUACACCAAAUGUCUGUUGGAACAAAUAUGGUGGAAUACAGUGGCGGCUCGUGACUGCUCAUCCGAGGAUGCGCUAAUUCAAAAUGAGUGUUCAGAUUGUCACGUGUGUGGUUUCCUUUUCCAAAAUAUGUGUCCUGCGUGUCGAGAGAUCCUGUGUGCAUCACAUGUUUUAUCAAAAUACGUGCCUGCUGCACACGCGUCAAAACUGUUUAUGAUAAAAGAGACACUCAUGUUCACAAAAUACACACUAGACACUUUCUUAACAGUAAACUCUGAUUACGCAUGAGAUUAUGCCAGUAUCUGGCAAACGCAAUCAUCUCUUUUAUCAUAAACCCUUUAGACGCGUCUGCAGCAGGCACUUAUUUUGGCAUGACACGUGAUGCACACAGGAUCUCUCAAAGCGCAGAACACAUAUUUGGAAAUAACGAACCACACACAUGACGGGCUACAUACAUGUUGUGACGAACUUCGCAUCGAGCGCCCUCAAAAAAUAAGUCACCGGCCCCCACUGGUGGAAUACCUUCAGCAAUCGAUGCCAUUCCCCUCUGGGAGACCUUAAGCUGCAGUAAAAGACACAACCAAUGUUUGAAGACUUAAAGCCUCAAGUUCAAUUCAGUUAUUGAAUGUUGUCAAAUGUUUGAGAGAGAAUGUUUGAGAGUUGUUUAUUUUUCUAUUUUUCCUUUCU